rnacentral:rRNA from 1 species
UACGGAGGGUGCAAGCGUUAAUCGGAAUUACUGGGCGUAAAGCGCACGCAGGUGGCUGAGUCAGUCGAUUGUGAAAGCCCUGGGCUUAACCUGGGAAUUGCAGUCGAUACUACUCAGCUAGAGUAUGGGGGAGGGUAGUGGAAUUCCCGGUGUAGCGGUGAAAUGCGUAGAUAUCGGGAGGAACAUCAGUGGCGAAGGCGGGUCUCUGGGCCGAUACUGACGCUGAGGAGCGAAAGCGUGGGGAGCGAACAGG